UUAAAACGUAUCAAUUUCCCCCCCGUGGUUUCGUUUUUCUCUUUUUGUUAUCAAUUUUAUUAUUAUUUUUUUCUUAAAUCAGUGACAAAGUUAAAAUUAAAGGAUACUAAAGUGAAUAUUCGAUAAAUAUAGAUGGUUAUCUGAAGUUUUUUGUAUAUAAUUUAACAAAAUAUUAACGAAAAAGCUUCCGAAAAGAUAAAAAUGAAACCACAGGGAGGCAAAUUGAUACGUUUUAAACCACAGGGUGCUAAAGUGAGAAUGCACGAAACCACAGGGGGGUUUUUGAAGUUUUCCCUUUUUUUUAUAUGUAAUUUUUCUUUAAACACAUCAAAAUUAAAAAAUAAAAUAAAUUUAUGUCAACAAAAAAAAAUUUUAUUGCUAGAAAAAACAUUGCCAUA
rnacentral:lncRNA from 1 species